rfam:Candidatus Rokubacteria bacterium 13_1_40CM_4_69_5 13_1_40cm_4_scaffold_2974, whole genome shotgun sequence.
UCCCCGGUAGCUCAGUCGGUAGAGCGGGUGACUGUUAAUCACUAGGUCGCAGGUUCGAGUCCUGCCCGGGGAG